rnacentral:rRNA from 1 species
AUAAACCGGAGGAAGGCGGGGAUGACGUCAAGUCCUCAUGGCCCUUACAUCCCGGGCUACACACGUGCUACAAUGGCAGGUACGAGAGGGCUGCGAAGCCGCGAGGUGGAAGCGAAUCCCAGAAAACCUGUCUCAGUCCGGAUUGAAGUCUGCAACUCGACUUCAUGAAGGCGGAAUCGCUAGUAACCGCGAAUCAGCAGGUCCGCGGUCGAAUACGUUCCCGGGCCUU